rnacentral:lncRNA from 1 species
GGAUUGGCUCUCGCGGACGCUGACGGACAGGGCAGGGGAGGGCCAAAGCCCGGUCUGACGGGCGCGCGCGGGGGCGCGAAAGCACGAGAGCGCGGCUGCGCGUGCGCGAGCGGCGGGGCUUUCUCCCGAGCCGUCGGAGGGAGCCGGAGCGCUUCUCCAGAGUUGGUGAUCGAUUGGUCGUAAUCCAACAUGCAGAAGUGAGUGAGUGGUGAAAAGCAGCAGAGCUGAUGGGUUGUGAGGAUGUAAGUGCGUUUGAAGGCUCUCACACCCUCUACUCCAGGGUAAGAACGGCAGGUCUGAAGGGCUGAUAACCCCUCUAAGAUGAGAAGGGCCCCAGCAAGGGUCUCAAAGAAGCUCCUCUGUCUGUGAAGGGGCUUGAAGAAGCAUCUUGUUUUACAUCUGAUGAAAAUGGAGGGAGCACUUCUUUUGACAGGAAACUUCACUUCUUGUUACUGAAAACCGUCACAACAGUCAUUAUGUCUGGCUUCCAGAGAUUUCCUGGAGUUAGGAGAACAAUAGAUAGUUAAAAUGGCAAUAUUGAGAGCAUUCGGUGGUUUUAUAAUGAGUACCUAGGGAAAUUUUUUCUCUUGAGUUUGUAAGAAUAAAGUAGGAAUAUUUGGGAGGUUGGGAAAAAUGUAGAAAUGAACUUUAAUGCUUUAUUUUUAAAAAUGUUCUUUCUAACCUUUGGAAGUAAAAAAUUAAUUUUAUACCAUGGUUCCCAUUAUCUUGUUACUGAGUUGACGAUGACUAAGGGAAACUUCCUUUCUUCUGUGCCUAUCUGCAUUGUAAGUAAUCCCCCAAAAAGAUACAUUUAUAUCUUUGUGUCUUUUUUGAUUAAAUGUCAUUCAGAAUUCUUGAAUCUGUUUAUUGCUUCUUAACUUU